UUAAGUUCAGCGGGUAUCCCUACCUGAUCCGAGGUCAAAGACGGUGAAAGGAGCUUGUUGGAUCGCGGGCCGCCGCAGUUCUGCAAGCGCAAUGUGCUGCGCAAGACUGGGGCAAAAAGACACCGCUGCCAAUGAAUUUGGGGCGAGUCCACGCGCGGAGGCGGGGACAGACGCCCAACACCAAGCAGAGCUUGAGGGUG
rnacentral:misc_RNA from 1 species